UACGUAGGGUGCAAGCGUUGUCCGGAAUUAUUGGGCGUAAAGAGCUCGUAGGUGGCCUGUCGCGUCGGCUGUGAAAACUCGGGGCUCAACUCCGAGCUUGCAGUCGAUACGGGCAGGCUAGAGUUCGGCAGGGGGAGACUGGAAUUCCUGGUGUAGCGGUGAAAUGCGCAGAUAUCAGGAGGAACACCGGUGGCGAAGGCGGGUCUCUGGGCCGAUACUGACACUGAGAGACGAAAGCUAGGGGAGCGAACAGG
rnacentral:rRNA from 1 species